rnacentral:rRNA from 1 species
ACUGCUAUCGGGGUUCGAUUAAGCCAUGCGAGUUAAAUGUUCUUCGUGAACAUAGCGAACUGCUCAGUAACACGUGGAUAACCUACCNUNAGGACCGGAAUAACCCCGGGAAACUGGGGAUAAUACCGGAUAAGCCAUAGACGCUGGAAUGCCCUAUGGUUCAAAGCUCCGGCGCCUAAGGAUGGAUCUGCGGUCUAUCAGGUUGUAGUGGGUGUAACGUACCUACUAGCCGACGACGGAUACGGGUUGUGAGAGCAAGAGCCCGGAGAUGGAUUCUGAGACACGAAUCCAGGUCCUACGGGGUGCAGCAGGCGCGAACACUUUACAAUGCGGGAAACCGCGAUAAGGGAACCCCGAGUGCCAGCAUCAAAUGUUGGCUGUCCAGAUGGUUAAAAAUCAUUUGUUAGCAAGGGCCGGGCAAGACCGGUGCCAGCCGCCGCGGUAACACCGGCGGCCCGAGUGGUAGCCGUUUUUAUUGGGUCUAAAGGGUCCGUAGCCGGCCUGAUAAGUCCUUUGGGAAAUCUGACAGCUUAACUGUCAGGCUUCUAAGGGAUACUGUCAGGCUUGGGACCGGAAGAGGUAAGGGGUACUCCAGGAGUAGGAGUGAAAUCUUGUAAUCCCUGGGGGACCAUCUGUGGCGAAGGCGCCUUACCAGAACGGGUCCGACGGUGAGGGACGAAAGCUAGGGGAGCAAACCGGAUUAGAUACCCGGGUAGUCCUAGCUGUAAACGAUGCUCGCUAGGUGUCAGACACGGUGCGACCGUGUUUGGUGCCGCAGGGAAGCCGUUAAGCGAGCCACCUGGGAAGUACGGUCGCAAGGCUGAAACUUAAAGGAAUUGGCGGG